CAGUAGCCGCGGUAAUACGGAGGGGGCUAGCGUUGUUCGGAAUUACUGGGCGUAAAGCGCACGUAGGCGGCUUGGUAAGUUAGAGGUGAAAGCCCGGAGCUCAACUCCGGAAUUGCCUUUAAGACUGCCGAGCUAGUAGGUGAGAGAGGUAAGUGGAAUUCCGAGUGUAGAGGUGAAAUUCGUAGAUAUUCGGAAGAACACCAGUGGCGAAGGCGGCUUACUGGCUCAUACUGGACGCUGAGGUGCGAAAGCGUGGGGAGCAAACAGGAUUAGAUACCCGCGUAGUCCCUGUCUCUUAUAC
rnacentral:rRNA from 1 species